AUGAAAAACUUGCCACGACCUCGCCAUGGCCGGCUCCGGCCACCGCGAACCCCACCCCGGCGCUCAGAGCGGACCGCCUCCGUGCCCCACCGGCCCGGAGCAUCCGUGUGCCACAUCCUCAGAUCCCCCGCACUCAAACGAGAACAAGGAAGGAGACGAGAUGGAUACGGGCAUGCGGCGGCGAUCGAGCAGAGAGCCGUCGCCGUUCCCAAUCCCGCUUACAGCUCGCGGCUCAGCGUCGCCCUCGUCGUCUGCUUCGCCUUCAAGCACGUCCUACGUGAAGACUGAAGUUGACUUUUACUACAAAGGGAUAUGAACUUCGAAAUCGUUAUUGUGGAUGGUGGAAGUCAAGACCGCUGCAAAAUAAUUGCUGGAAGUGUACAGUGAAGAUCGUGUUGUAGUUGUAGGUAUCUUCAAAAACCUGCUUCUGUUCAGCUACUGUUAGCUCGGCUAAGGAAGCUAACAUUUGGUGAGAUUAGAAUUCUCGUUUUAAGUUUUGAGUGAAUUCUAUUAUAACAUCAUAAUACCGCAUGUUAACAUGGAUUAAAGCAUGCUUCUCGAGAAGUUAUUUGCUGGUCCCCAUGGAUGCCGGCCUAUCUCGCCGUGUUUAAAUUUCAACUAAUGCUAUAGAGAAUUUUACUGAUGUACAA